CUUUUUUUUAUUUCAUUAUUUGAAAGUUUAUCCAUUUAUCUACAAGUUUUGAACAUUGAAAUAUGUAAUUUUUAACUUUAAAUAUUGUUUUUAGUCAUUUUUCUAGAGCAUGUAUAAUGUUUAUUUCAUCUAAUUCCGAAUCUACAUGUAAAUAAUACCCUUGGUAACGCAUCGAAUACUUUUGAGUAGUCAUAUUCGACCUAGGCAUAUUUGGCAUCAAUGAAACCGUCGUUUCCUACACUUUCCUAAAAUAACCGUAUCUCCGAAAUAAUAUAAAUAGCGUUUCGGCUUUGAACGGAAACCCGUGGUCACCGAGAGUGUAAAAUAUAUUUAUUUAUAGAUUCUAGUAUCUUAUUAUUUCCGACAAAAUGAUUGGUCGGCAUUGGGCUUCCGCCCCUAUCGACAUUAGUUUGAACAUAAACAAAACAUGGUUGUUUACGUUUCAUUGAUGAUAUAGUUUUAGAUGCUCUACCUGUCGACUUAUUAUUCAACUUCUAAAUCUAGAUCUAGCAUGAAAACUAAAAAGAAUAGACCUUAGUCUAGAUUCGUCAUUCUAGAUCUAGACAUUAUAAGACUAUUAGCCGGCAGGCUAGGCUGAGAUGAGGCCCUAUCGACACCGUUCUAGUCUAGUUACCACUUUGACAUUCACUUUGGAAACAAGACUCAACUACCCAGGUUCUUCGGCAUUGAUGCAAUCAACUGAAAUUUUAUGGAAAAGAUCAGGGCAGAAGUUUACACAGAGAUAAACAACCUUGUCUGAUGGAAACACCAGGUUGUUUUUGAGAGUUUUAUUAACAGAUCUGAGCCCAGGUAUUGUCGUAAAACAGAACAAUUCGUCGGCCUUACAGGUUUCGAACUACUUGGUUCUCUCCGCAGCCAUGUUUUAUUCUGAAAUUCCUUAAAUAAGCCAACAUGUGAGAUAAAUGGUUGAAGCAAUGAAAAGAGGGAAAGGAUGGACCCCUGAUGGGUAUGACUUUGUGGACAGCACACAUUUUAUUGAUGCAAACUUUGAUGAUAUAAUGAAAAAUCUGAAACCCUCAGCUAUUCCUACAAUAUUUCAGUGUCAUAACGAUGCAGCUUCCUGGCCAGUUAAAAAGAAGGAAAAAUAAAGUCUUAAGGUGAAAGAAGAAAUUGUACAAUUCAAAGAGACUUCUGAUAUAUUAUAAAAAGAAAGUUCAAUGUUUAUGAGAGGAGUUAUAGAAAAGCCAACCUCACCUAAAACAGUUAUGAUGAUUUAUCUUUACAUCUGUUUGAGGAGCCUACAGGAAAUGCAAAUUAUACAGAUGAAAAAAUAUCCUUCACAAUAACAUUGCACUUUUACAGUCCUAAUGUGUACGAGUUUCUUUCUACCACGUUUAACCUGCCUUCAACCAGAACACUAAGAAGAUUCAUGAUUGCCUUUAUAUGUGGACAAAUAAGCCUAUACAGUAUUUCCAAGAAUGAGAACUUUGCAGGGUAGAGUCAUUUGACUUACAAGCCUCUUAGAGACCACUGGGACAUAGUUCUGGGCUGCCUUUGGUAUGGGGAACUCUCAGGCACCAGCUAUUAAAGAAGAAACAAAUAGCAGUCAGGUUAAUGGUGACUCAGAGAUAAGAGACAGUGUGCUGCUGAAAGUCAUUGAGGUGGUUGGCUACGUUUUGUAUGGAGUAUGGAGUUUACAUUCUUGAUGCUGUCUUGGUCCUGAUCAACUUGUUCAUUGCUAUGAUGAAUUUGAAGACAUUUAGAAUGUCCAAAAGAUUAGUCAGCUAAGGAGCCUAAAAUGUUAGCCUGUUUACAAAUAUGAGAUCUUCCUUGACUACACAAGUACCUUACAAAAGAAGGCUACUCACUUGUGUUUGGAUAUGUCAGCUGUUUUGUCCCUGUGGCCCUUUUCAAGCAUGACAGAUACUAUUCUAAGCAGCUUUUUUCUCUGGAAAUUAUUCAACCACAGAAGCUGUGAGGGAUAUCUGAAAUCCAUUGCUUACUUGUCUAGAAAGACUUCCAUCGAUUGAGUGAUAAAAGAUUAAGUGUACACAACUUUUAGUAUAACACUUAACAUUUUGAUGCUCAAGACAAUACUGUUCAUGACUGGUUUAUUUUUCUUUAUGCUGAGAGUGUCCAAGAAAGAUAAGGUCAAAGGUUAAUUGGACAAACAAUAAACUUUGUCUUUGAAUCUGAAAUUGUAGAACUUGUAGAGAAAAAAAACAACUUAGUGUUGUUGUUAAUUUACCAGGUACCUACUAUUCAUUUACUUUGACUGUUGACUUUAAGUUAGAAAUUAAGGAAAGAUUUCUUUGAGCUAUAUUUGUCAAUGACCAUAGGCAUUAAGAGAGUUGACACCUCAUUUUACUUUUCAACAAGAUGAUGUCUUAAAAAAAUUAAGAGCUUUUGAUGGAAUUCUGUGGUUGAAUAACAUAAGUAAAGUUAAUCACAGGAUUCCAUCAAAAUCAUUGCAAUUUGAACAUUGUUGGUAGUGUCAAUGUUAUUAAGUUUUUUAGUUCUUGGUGUUACUACAUUAUUCAUUUUCUAGUGACCAGGCAGUGUUUUAUACCAUGAAUGAAUAUGUUGUAAGAGGUUUAAGGUAUACCACUCAAUCAAUAAUAUCUUUGACAAUAAAAUAUUUUGAUCAAGUUUAUAUUUUUGGAACAGAAUAUGCUAAUGUGUUAAAUGUACAUUUUUCUUUUUUUUUAUGGAAUAACAACUGAUUUAUCCCUUUGUAUCUUUCUACAGUAGAUGCACUGUCAUACUACAUAGAAAUUUUAAAAAAUUAUAAUAACUUCUAAUCAAAUUGUCUCGCUUUUAAAAUUAAAUAUCUAAAUGAAUCAUGCUACUUUGAUUCUACAUAAUCUACAGGACUACCAAUGUACAUUAGUUUUGAACAAAAAGUUGCUAACUUUAAAUAAUUGAUUAACUCAUUUUGAUAUUUAUGUAUACCUUGUAAUAAAAGUGGCAUUCAUUUUACAA